UACAGAGGGGGCAAGCGUUGUUCGGAAUUACUGGGCGUAAAGGGCUCGUAGGCGGCCAACUAAGUCAGACGUGAAAUCCCUCGGCUUAACCGGGGAACUGCGUCUGAUACUGGAUGGCUUGAGUUUGGGAGAGGGAUGCGGAAUUCCAGGUGUAGCGGUGAAAUGCGUAGAUAUCUGGAGGAACACCGGUGGCGAAGGCGGCAUCCUGGACCAACACUGACGCUGAGUGAGCGAAAGCCAGGGGAGCAAACGGG
rnacentral:rRNA from 1 species